GCGCUCGUAGCUUAGCUCGGAUAAAGCGUCUGGUUGCGGUCCAGGAGAUCGCAGGUUCAAAUCCUGCCGGGCGCACCA
rnacentral:tRNA from 1 species